GACGAACGCUGGCGGCGUGCCUAAUACAUGCAAGUCGAACGAGAGCAACCGGUGCUUGCACUGGUCAAUCUAGUGGCGAACGGGUGAGUAACACGUGGGUAACCUGCCCAUCAGAGGGGGAUAACAUCCGGAAACGGAUGCUAAAACCGCAUAGGUCUUCGAACCGCAUGGUUUGAAGAGGAAAAGAGGCGCAAGCUUCUGCUGAUGGAUGGACCCGCGGUGCAUUAGCUAGUUGGUGAGGUAACGGCUCACCAAGGCCGUGAUGCAUAGCCGACCUGAGAGGGUGAUCGGCCACAUUGGGACUGAGACACGGCCCAAACUCCUACGGGAGGCAGCAGUAGGGAAUCUUCCGCAAUGGACGCAAGUCUGACGGAGCAACGCCGCGUUAGUGAAGAAGGUUUUCGGAUCGUAAAACUCUGUUGUUAGAGAAGAACAAGUGCUAGAGUAACUGUUAGCGCCUUGACGGUAUCUAACCAGAAAGCCACGGCUAACUACGUG
rnacentral:rRNA from 1 species